rnacentral:pre_miRNA from 1 species
AGAGGUUGUCUGGGUUUCUGUUUCUUUAUUGAUGAUGAAACACACCUGGUUACCCUCUUU